CUUGGUCAUUUAGAGGAAGUAAAAGUCGUAACAAGGUUUCCGUAGGUGAACCUGCGGAAGGAUCAUUACAAGAUUGGAGGCUGGCGGCGCCUGGCGGGACGCAUCAAGCGUGCCUGUCCGGUUACGUCCAGCCCCACUCCUCACCUUGCCUACUGCACCGUUUGUUGCUUCCUGGCGGCGGCGUCCCGCCGCCAGGUGCUUGUAAAAGCCUUGUAUAAGCAUUGAUAUCCUGAUGUACACGAAAUCAUACAACUUUCAACAAUGGAUCUCUUGGUUCUGGCAUCGAUGAAGAACGCAGCGAAAUGCGAUAAGUAGUGUGAAUUGCAGAAUUCAGUGAAUCAUCGAAUCUUUGAACGCACAUUGCGCCCCUUGGUAUUCCGAGGGGCAUGCCUGUUCGAGCGUCAUCUGAACCCUCAAGCCCCCCGGUGUUGCCCUGCCUCUGGCUCGGGCUCCACCUGGCUUGGUGUUGGGCGUCUGUCCCCACUGGCGUGGACUCGCUCCAAAUGCAUUGGCAGCGGCCUCCCGGCUCCUCGCGCAGCACACCGCGCAGAGGGACCCGGGUCGGCGCGCGUCCAGCAAGCAUCUCCCAAGUUUGACCUCGGAUCAGGUAGGGAUACCCGCUGAACUUAAGCAUAUCAAUAAGCGGAGGA
rnacentral:rRNA from 1 species